UACGAAGGGGGGCUAGCGUUGUUCGGAUUUACUGGGCGUAAAGCGCACGUAGGCGGAUUGUUAAGUCAGGGGUGAAAUCCUGGAGCUCAACUCCAGAACUGCCUUUGAUACUGGCAAUCUAGAGUCCGGAAGAGGUGAGUGGAACUCCUAGUGUAGAGGUGGAAUUCGUAGAUAUUAGGAAGAACACCAGUGGCGAAGGCGGCUCACUGGUCCGGUACUGACGCUGAGGUGCGAAAGCGUGGGGAGCAAACAG
rnacentral:rRNA from 1 species